AGUGUGACACAUAUCGCUGAUUUC
rnacentral:siRNA from 1 species